GUAUCCUACGGGAGGCAGCAGUGGGGAAUAUUGCACAAUGGGGGGAACCCUGAUGCAGCGACGCCGCGUGGGUGAAGAAGUCAUUCGUGACGUAAAGCCCUAUCAGCAGGGAAGAAAAUGACGGUACCUGACUAAGAAGCCCCGGCUAACUACGUGCCAGCAGCCGCGGUAAUACGUAGGGGGCAAGCGUUAUCCGGAUUUACUGGGUGUAAAGGGAGCGUAGACGGCGGCGCAAGUCCGGAGUGAAUGCCCACGGCGCAACCGUGGGACGGCUCUGGAAACUGUGCGGCGU
rnacentral:rRNA from 1 species